CUUUGACACUAUCCUACUUGGAUAACUGUGGUAAUUCUAGAGCUAAUACAUGCAUUAAAGCUCUGACCUCACGGGAAGAGUGCAUUUAUUAGACCAAAACCAAGCGGCUUCGGCUGUUUCUGGUUGACUCAUAGUAAUUGAGCUGAUCGCACGGUCUUGCACCGGCGACGUGUCUUUCAAGUAUCUGCCGUAUCAACUUUCGAUGGUAGUGUAUCUGACUACCAUGGUGAUCACGCGUAACGGAGAAUAAGGGUUCGACUCCGGAGAGUUCGCCUGAGAAAUCGCGAACACAUCUAAGGAAGGCAGCAGGCGCGAAAAUUACCCACUCUCAGCACGAGGAGGUAGUGACGAAAAAUAACGAGACCGUUCUCUUAUGAGGCCGGUCAUCGGAAUGGGUACAAUUUAAACCCUUUAACGAGUAUCUAUGAGAGGGCAAGUCUGGUGCCAGCAGCCGCGGUAAUUCCAGCUCUCAAAGUGCAUAGAAUUAUUGCUGCGGUUAAAAAGCUCGUAGUUGGAUCUGUGCCAUAGGACGGGGUCUACCUUCGGGUACGCACUUCGCUCCUAGGCUUUUUGCUGGUUUUCCCGUCGUAGCCUUCACUGGUUGCGGCGGGUGGCUGGCGAGUUUACUUUGAGAAAAUCAGAGUGCUCAACACAGGCGUAUAGCUUGAAUGAUUGUGCAUGGAAUAAUAGAAAAGGAUUUCGGUCCUCUUUUAUUGGUUUUGUGGACUGAGAUAAUGGUUAACAGGGACAAACGGGGGCAUUCGUAUCGCUGCGUGAGAGGUGAAAUUCUUGGACCGUAGCGAGACGCCCUACUGCGAAAGCAUUUGCCAAGAAUGUCUUCAUUAAUCAAGAACGAAAGUCAGAGGUUCGAAGGCGAUCAGAUACCGCCCUAGUUCUGACCGUAAACGAUGCCAACUAGCGAUCCGCCGGUGGAUUUUUAGCCCUGGUGGGUAGCUUCCCGGAAACGAAAGUCUUCCGGUUCCGGGGGAAGUAUGGUUGCAAAGCUGAAACUUAAAGGAAUUGACGGAAGGGCACCACCAGGAGUGGAGCCUGCGGCUUAAUUUGACUCAACACGGGGAAACUCACCCGGCCCGGACACCGUAAGGAUUGACAGAUUGAUAGCUCUUUCAUGAUUCGGUGGUUGGUGGUGCAUGGCCGUUCUUAGUUCGUGGAUCGAUUUGUCUGGUUUAUUCCGAUAACGAGCGAGACUCUAGCCUACUAAAUAGCUGCGGGAUUAUCAUUGUCCCGCCGGCUUCUUAGAGGGAUUUUCGGUGUUUAGCCGCACGAGAUUGAGCAAUAACAGGUCUGUGAUGCCCUUAGAUGUCCGGGGCUGCACGCGCGCUACACUGGCGAAAUCAGCGUGCUGUAUCCAUUCUCGAAAGGGAUUGGUAAACCCAUGAAAAUUUGCCGUGCUUGGGA
rnacentral:rRNA from 1 species